rnacentral:rRNA from 1 species
GAUGAACGCUGGCGGCGUGCUUAACACAUGCAAGUCGAACGGGAAUUACUUUAUUGAAACUUCGGUCGAUUUAAUUUAAUUCUAGUGGCGGACGGGUGAGUAACGCGUGGGUAACCUGCCUUGUACAGGGGGAUAACAGUCAGAAAUGACUGCUAAUACCGCAUAAGCGCACAGGACCGCAUGGUCCGGUGUGAAAAACUCCGGUGGUAUAAGAUGGACCCGCGUUGGAUUAGCUUGUUGGUGGGGUAACGGCCCACCAAGGCGACGAUCCAUAGCCGGCCUGAGAGGGUGAACGGCCACAUUGGGACUGAGACACGGCCCAGACUCCUACGGGAGGCAGCAGUGGGGAAUAUUGCACAAUGGGGGAAACCCUGAUGCAGCGACGCCGCGUGAAGGAAGAAGUAUCUCGGUAUGUAAACUUCUAUCAGCAGGGAAGAAAAUGACGGUACCUGACUAAGAAG